AAAAAUGUAAAUACCACGAGCCCUAUCUGAGAAGGGUGAGGGAAGCCCGAAUGAGAUAAUGUGUGCGAAUGGCUACCAUGUUGGAGGGCUUGGGUUCUUCGCACUCGGUCCUAUCUCCACUUCCAGGCAGUCGACUUUCCUGAGACCUGGGUGCCUUGGCCGCCCAGGCUAGGAGACUUGAAGCUCUUCUCUCCUCAAACCUGGGCCGAUUUGCUUGUUAUCUUCUCAAAGGGUAGAGUGAGGGCUGCUGACGCGCUCCUGGAACAGUCACCGUGAUGACUCGGGGCUCCGCUGGCACCCUGGGCACACAGGCCGUGCUGUUGCCUCCCCUCCCACACCCUCCGGAGAUUGCCAUUUUCUAUUUCCAAACCAAACAAGACACCCUGAAGGACGCUCCUCCUGCGGCCCCAUCAUCUGCUUCAGGCCAGAUUUGGAAAGUCAGCGUGAUUGAGGAAAUGCUGGAAGAGCACCAGCCUGCACGCUGCAGAGGCCUCUUUAGAAACUUCUGCUGGAAGGGACGUCCCCAUGCUUUAGGUCGCAGGACAGAGCUUGCAGAUGCCUUGGAAACCGGUAGGAGCCAAGCUGCGUCCUGGGAGACCCCCGAGCUCUGCACACCUUCCCUCCGCCCUCCCGGCUGUGGCAACGCUCGGGGGUCGUUUAGGGGUCCGCGUGCCUUUUGCUCCGCGGCCCCCGGCCUCGGAUCCCCUCUCCCAUCAUGAUUCUGAGGCCUCCCCAGCCAUGUGGAACUGUAAGUCUAAUUAAACCUCUUUUUUCCCCCAGUCUUGGGCAUGUCUUUAUCAGCAGUGUGAAAAUGGACUAAUACAGUAAUAUAUAAAAAGUUUGCUGCUAUAUUGCUCCAUUUACUCUCCUCUCCUUUGUCCUGUUAUUGUUAUACAAAUGACAUCUUUGUAUGUUGUAUGCCCAUCAGCACAGAUUUAUGGCUAUUGCUUUAUGGAGUGCAUUUAAAAUUAAGUAGGCAAAAAAAGAGAGUUGCAAACAAAAUAUGCAAUUAUACUCUCUUUUAUAAUUUCCUAUGUAUUGAGCUUUACUAGUACUUUUAUUUUUUCUUGUGGAUUUGAGUUACUAUCUAGUGUCCUUUUAUUUUAGCCCAAAGGGCUUCUUGUAAUUUUUAUUGUAGGGCAGGUCUGCUAGCUAUAGAUUCUUGCAGUUUUUGUUUAUCUUAAUGCCUGCUUCGUGUUUGAAUAAUAGUUUUGCUGGAUGUAGAAUUCUUGGUUGACAGUCUUUUCCAUUCAGCAUUUCAAAUGUGUCAUUCCAUUACCUUAUGGCCUCCAUUAUUUUUGAUGAGAAAUCAGCUGUUAAUGUUAUUUAUGAGUUCAUGUAUAUGAUGAGUUGCUUCUUUCUUGCUGUUUUUAAGAUGCUGUCUUGGUCUUUGUCUUUUGACAGUUUGUUUGCAAUGUAUCUUGGUCUCAGUUUCUUUGUGUUGAUCCUCCUUGGAGUUCGCUGAGUUUUCUUGGAUGUGUAGAUUAAUGUUUUGCAUCAAAUUUUUAGCUAUUUGGUCAUUAUUUCAUCAAAUAUGCUUUUUAUAUUUUUCUCUACUCUACAUUUUGGACUCCCAUUAUGCAUGUAGUUUAUAUGCCUCAUUAUGUCCUAGAAGUUUCUGAGAAUCUGUUCAUUUUUUUGUCAUUCUUUUUCUUUUCUGUUCCUCAUACUGGAUCACCUCUAUUAAUGUAUAUUUUAGAAUCUUGAUUUUUAAUUUGGCCUGCUCAAAUCUGCUGUUGAGUUCCUCCAGUGAAUCUUCAUUUCAGUUUUUAUAAUUUUUGUAUUCUAGAACUGCUAUUUGCUGUUUUUUUAAAAAAAAUUUCUAUCUUUUUAUUGAUAUUCUGUAUUUGGUAAGAAAUCAUUUUCAGACUUUACUUUUUAAGAUAUGGUUGCCUUUAGUUUUCUGGAGAUAUUUAAAAUUGCUGAUUUAAGUGUUUCUCUGGUAAAUAUAAAGUCUAGGCUUCCUCAAGUAUAGUUUCUUUUGAUUGCUUUUUUCCUUGUGUUUAGGCCAUAACUUAUUGUUUCUUUACAUGUAUUAUAGUUUUUUCUUAAGAACUGGACAUUUUAAAUUAUGUAAUGUGGCAGCUCUAUAAAUCAACUUUUCUCUCCCUCUUCACCCAGGGUUUGUUGUUGUUUGUUUGUUUGUUUAGUGGCUUUUCAGAAUUAAUUGUGUCAAGUCCAGAUUCUUUGUCAUGUGUGGCUGCUGAAAUCUCUGCUCAGUUAGUUUGGAGAUCAGCUAAUGAUUGGGUAGCAAAUCCCUUAACUAUCUGGAACCAAUAAGUUUUCUAGUUUCUGCCAAGGGGCUCUGUGUGUUUUGGGGCAUGCCUUUAUUAGUCAGUUGUGUGGUUUUCGUGUCCACCUUAGCCAUCACUUGCUGCUUGCACAGAGCCUCAAGGUCAGCCAGAGACAAGAAUUUGGGAACUUCUCAGG
rnacentral:lncRNA from 1 species